ACAUGUAUAAUUAUACUAGCUUCAACCCGCGGCUUCGUCCGCGUGGACUACACAAUUUUUAAACCCCUAUCUUACUCCCUUAGUGGUUGAAUUUUCAAAGAUCCUUUCGUAGCAGAUGCCUACAUCAUAAUAACAAUCUGCAUGCCAAAUUUCAGCCCGAUCCGUCCGGUAGUUUGAGCUGUUGAUGGA